rnacentral:rRNA from 1 species
UACAGAGACUGCAAGCGUUAUUCGGAUUCACUGGGCGUAAAGGGUGCGCAGGCGGCCAAGUGUGUGAGGCGUGAAGGCCUGGAGCUUAACUCCAGAAUUGCACCUCAAACUACUUGGCUAGAGCAUUGGAGAGGGUAGCAGAAUUCAUGGUGUAGCAGUGAAAUGCGUAGAUAUCAUGAGGAAUACCAGAGGCGAAGGCGGCUACCUGGACAAUUGCUGACGCUCAGGCACGAAAGCGUGGGGAGCAAAAGGG